UUGGUGAAUAAAACAGAAUGCAAAUGUUUACAUUGCUAAAGACACUUGGAUUUUUGGAAGAACAUUACUGCAAUUCCAAUGGCUAAAAUUGAGACAGAAGCAGUGGAAAUGCAUUCUUUCAUCCAUUGUCUCCAUCCUUGAAAGAUGAAACAGGUCCUCGAGAUAAAGAAUGAACUCCAACUCUAUGUCAUCAGUCUUUUUUGUCAAUUUCACAUAAGACGCUGAGCUGACAUACACUUAAGCCGCAUUCUAACACCUUUGCUGCAAUCAGGGGAAGUGUUCCAGCUAGAUUAAUAGUAAAAGCCGGGAUAACGAAAGAAAGAAAAGGAAAAAAAAAACCUUCCAUAAUCUGAAUUUUAACUCUUACGCGGCUAAAGUUCCAACUUUUACCUAAUGAUCGGUGCUCAAUUCUGACAAAAUGAGCCUGUGGUUUGGUACUCAAGACCACUGGACUGUUGCGUUGCACCCUAGAUGGACUUUCCUAAAAUUUCCUCCACAUGACGAUCUUAUCCUUUUUAAUUUGUCACCAAUAAGUAGAUAGUUAAAACCAAGACAAGCUGCUUGACCAUCCGAUCUGGGAGAUUUUUGGGGCAUGGUCUAUCCAUAGUGGAAUGCAACAUCCCAAUGGUUUGUCCUACCAGAUUAUGUGUUUCACUUGUUAGAAGUUAAAACUGUAUAUACUAUGCUGCGAUUUUGGUCACAUGUCAUAUAAUUCCUCCCCGUGUUGGCUUUGAUUAACUCCAUGGAACUAUUUUUUCUGAAGCUGAAGCUGAAAUGGUCAUUUGCUCAGAUUUAUUGAGAAGAGUGGUUUUUUCUCAUUUGCUUAAGGUGUAAUUUCAUAAUUUGUUUGAUAAUAAUUGCUGUGUUAUGGUGUCCCUCAUACAGUUUAAGCCAUAUGAAGAGAUCCAGCAAGAAGGAACCUGAAAGGAUGAGAAGAAAGAAGCUGAACAAGUUCAAAAAGAAAGGAGUCCAAAGGACUUGGAAGAGAUCCAACAAGAAAAUACCAACCUAGGUGAUAUGGAGGACAUCUUCAAAAUAACUCCAUCCAAAAAGACAGAAAUUGUUGAAUAUAGACCUUGGUCUGACCUUCCAACAGAUCUUCUAGAGUUGAUCGCAUUGCAUUUCUUUUGAGCAGAUUUUGUUCAUCUGAUCUCCUCCUGUAGAAAUUGGCGAUCAAUUGCCCCACCGAGCCUAAUCACAAAACAGCAUCUCUUUUCUCAGUAGUCAUGGCUUGCCAUUUCUCAGAAAUUACUCGCCAUGGCUCAUGUAUUUUGGGAAAGACGAUGGCAUGUGUAACUUCUUGAAUCCUUUGUACAAUGAGAGAUAUUUCAUCAAUAUCCCAGAGCUCCCUGGUUCAACAAUUUGUUUCUGCAAGGAUGGUUGGGUAUUCAUGUAUAGAGGCAACAGCUCUGUGUUCCUUUUCAAUCCCUUUAUCAAAUCAAGGAUUGAACUCAA